rnacentral:lncRNA from 1 species
AUGCAAAUUCUAUUGUCCUGUGAUGAAGUUUCUUCUGAUCCCCUGCAGAUGCUUUGCUCCUCCCACACUUGCCGAGGAAGCCCAGAGAUUCCUGGAAAACUUCGAUGUCGACAGAUGCCCAACAAAAUGGUGCCCUCUAAAGGACAGGCUGCAUGCCUCUUACUGUUGGGAGACAGUCCUUCGCUUCUCCUGCUGCCAUCACCCCAAAUUUGGGGCAUCGUUCCUCCUCCUCCCUUCACAGCGCCAGGGCUCUCCACGGAGGACAAGAAACGCGGCCUAGGAAACRAGACAGGUUGCCGGCUCUCCCCCUCAGGAAGGUCACCUGGCGGAGCAGGAGCCGCUGCCGCCGAAGGCAGAAAAUGAAGACUCGGUCUUCCUCGUGCGGGCGCAGGGCU